GAUGAACGCUGGCGGCGUGCCUAAUACAUGCAAGUCGAGCGAACAGAUAAGGAGCUUGCUCCUUUGACGUUAGCGGCGGACGGGUGAGUAACACGUGGGUAACCUACCUAUAAGACUGGAAUAACUCCGGGAAACCGGGGCUAAUGCAGGAUAACAUGUUGAACCGCAUGGUUCUACAGUGAAAGGCGGCUUUGCUGUCACUUAUAGAUGGACCCGCGCCGUAUUAGCUAGUUGGUGAGGUAACGGCUCACCAAGGCAACGAUACGUAGCCGACCUGAGAGGGUGAUCAGCCACACUGGAACUGAGACACGGUCCAGACUCCUACGGGAGGCAGCAGUAGGGAAUCUUCCGCAAUGGGCGAAAGCCUGACGGAGCAACGCCGCGUGAGUGAUGAAGGUCUUCGGAUCGUAAAACUCUGUUAUUAGGGAAGAACAAAUGCGUAAGUAACUGUGCGCGUCUUGACGGUACCUAAUCAGAAAGCCACGGCUAACUACGUG
rnacentral:rRNA from 1 species